AUUGAACGCUGGCGGCAGGCCUAACACAUGCAAGUCGAGCGGAUGAGUGGAGCUUGCUCCAUGAUUCAGCGGCGGACGGGUGAGUAAUGCCUAGGAAUCUGCCUGGUAGUGGGGGACAACGUUUCGAAAGGAACGCUAAUACCGCAUACGUCCUACGGGAGAAAGUGGGGGAUCUUCGGACCUCACGCUAUCAGAUGAGCCUAGGUCGGAUUAGCUAGUUGGUGAGGUAAAGGCUCACCAAGGCGACGAUCCGUAACUGGUCUGAGAGGAUGAUCAGUCACACUGGAACUGAGACACGGUCCAGACUCCUACGGGAGGCAGCAGUGGGGAAUAUUGGACAAUGGGCGAAAGCCUGAUCCAGCCAUGCCGCGUGUGUGAAGAAGGUCUUCGGAUUGUAAAGCACUUUAAGUUGGGAGGAAGGGCAGUAAGUUAAUACCUUGCUGUUUUGACGUUACCAAAAGAAUAAGCACCGGCUAACUUCGUGCCAGCCGCCGCCGUAAAAC
rnacentral:rRNA from 1 species